UAUAACCUGGAAGAAAAUAUGGAAAAGCUCAGAGAAAAAAUUAGUUAAUUCGACCAGGCAGGCGUCCAAACUGGAUUCUUUCCUCCUUAUGGAGCUCCACACUCCUAGAUUGACUGAAAUGUUUCCUUUUUCAACUGCCUGGAUUUUGUACAUAUGUUUAGGCAAAAAAAACUUUUUUUUAUAUUAUUGGAAAUUCUCUUUUUUUUGUGACUUAUAUAACGUCCACGUGGACUAUUAAGCUAAUUGGGGUUACUAUAACAGAACAUUUAUUAUAAUAUAAAAUUAUCGGGCAAUUGCGAUACUCUCUACUCUUAAGUAAUAUAACGAAUGCUACCCAGGAGAUCUCUGAUACUUUGAAUCUUCGUGUACAAAUGAAUGGCUCCGCCGAACAACGUUGCAAGUGAAAAAAACUUAUUUUUUCAGAAAUUCAAAAAAACACUGAUUGUUCAAUGAAAUUGAUUUCUAAUUUACAAUUUCUUAUUAUAAACGAGGCUUUGUUAUUGAAUGAAAUCACCUAUAAGAGAAAAUAUUAUUAUACUAUCAUAUCUUACUGAGAUAUUGACAUUUUAAAAGUAUUUUUUCGGGUACAACGUUGUAAGCGACGGCGCUUGCAACGUUGUUCUUUGAACAAGACGUAUAAUACUGAAUUUAAUGGGGCUGAUUCAAUAAUGUAAGUAGGUAGUUUUCAAAUAUGAUCUUUAAUAAUAACGAAUACAAAAAACUUAAGUUUUCUUAUUGUUCAACCUAAAUAUUUUCAUAAAAAGGCACAUAUUCUGGCGGAAUGUAUUUGCACAUAUCCAAACAAGUCCUUUUUCUUUGCCGCUUUGAUCGGGAGUCUAUCCUUGUAUAAAGGUGGGAACCGAGAAACUUUUACUGGGGGCAUACUUCUCUUCCCUGGCCCCUUUACUUUUUUUGCUAAUAAGUGCGAAGUACAUGUUUGAAGGACGUUGUGUGAUUCGAUUUAUACAAAACGGAUGAGAGUCCAAAAAUUCCCCACUCUUAAAAAUUUUGUAGAAAAAUGUAUAGUAAAUGUAAAUGAAUUUUGUAGAAUUUUGUCUUAAAAAUUUUAUGCUAGUAAAUUCGGGCGUCAACAGGAAGCAGUUUGCUUUUGCUUUUAAGUGCGGUAAUGUGACUCACGAGUUUUUGUCUGCUUCACGUGUUUUUCACGGAAUUUUUAAGAUGGCUGAGUGUGAAUCUUCAAGCGUUACUAAAAAAAGGCCAAAAUUAGGUCGCGUUUUGACUCGUCAAAAAAACUAAGAUUGCAAACACAUGAAACUGGUAGCAGUUGUAAUUGUUCAAGGUUAAAAUGUUUUGAAGUAAUUGGUGUUUAAGACCGUUUGGCGAUUAUUAAAAACUUUAACGAAAUAAAAUCCUAUAAUGAGCAGACCUUAUACUUGGCAGGUCUCAUUUCGCAUGAGCCAGUUAAAAGACGGCGCCAAAGAAAAGCGAACGAUGAAGAUGUAGUUUAUCACUCAUUCUCCUACAAAUAUAAGGUUCGAGUAAUGCGAGAUAAUGGAGCCAAAGAGAUUCCUGUUUGCUACAAGGCAAUGCUGUCGUUACAUGGAAUAUCAGCGAAGCGCAUUCAAAACAUCCAGCAAAAGCUUGUUAAAGACGGACAUGUUGGUGAAGAUGGUCGUGGUCGACAUUCCAAUCGACCAAACAAGUUACACCAAGAAACCACUAAUGCUGUCUUUGCUCAUAUUCAAUCAUUUAAAGGUAGACAGUCACACUAUAGCCUUCACAAGUCGAAAAAAUCGUACCUACUAGUGGAGUUAAACGUUAAGAAAAUGUUCCAAAUGUUUAAGGAAUUACAUCCGACUAAAUCAAUUUCAUGUGUCAUAUCGUUCUAUCUUUGUAAAUAAAUUUAAUAUUAGUUUCGGUUACCCGCGCAGUGAUACAUGCAGCAGUUGCGAUGAAUAUAAAGCAAAAAUUGCAGAUCCUUCACAGGUUUCAAACCUUGCUACAUUACAUGUGACAAAUCAACUUCACCUUAAGAAGGCAGAGGCUUUUUAUCAAAGAAAACGAUCCGAACGCAAAAGAGCUCAACAACACCGCUAUAUUGAAGCCAUUGCUAUGGAUUAUCAAAAAAACUUGCCUCUGCUAAACAUUAGCACUAAUGACGUAUACUACAAACGACAGUUAUCGUUCUACUUAUUUAAUAUUCACGUUUUAGCCAGUGGUGAGGCAUUUUUUUAUACGUACACAGAAACCGCCGCAAAAAAAGGAGCAGACGAAGUUGCUUCUAUGCUGUUUAAUUACAUACUCAAUGAAUUGAAUCCCGUUCAAAAGUUCAAGAACUUGUGAUUUUUUGUGAUUCGUGUUGUGGAUAGAAUAAAAAUUAUACUUUGUUUCGAAUGCUUCAUUAUGUUGUAACAUAAAGUAGGCCGACUUCAGUGUAUAAAAAUGGUUUUUCCAAUUAGAGGACAUAGCUACAUGGAAUGUGAUCGUAAUAUGGGCUUAAUCAAUUCCAAAGCUUUUGUCGAACUUCCUUUCGGUUAGAAUGAUCACAUUCGAAAUGCCCGCGUUAAACCAAGUCCCUUUAAAGUAGUUAGCUGUGAAGAUCAAGAGAUUUUUCGAAGCUGGACUGAUCAUUUAACAAACUAUUAUGUAACAAAAUGUCCCUUUGAAACCCGCCCAAUCAGAGAACUGCUCAUAAAAAAAGAAGAGCCCAGAAUGAUCGAUCAUCGUGAUUCGUACAAUGGAGGCUUUAUUUCAAGCGUCGUAGUGCCUACAAAAAAAAAAGGAAACUACCAAAAAAGGAAAAGCAGCCAAAGGCAAAUUAAAAAAUGCAGACAAUAUAGUUGGUAUAUUAGAUCUACCUUCAGGACAAUUUGAACUUCCAAAUUUCAAAUAUGAAAACAGGAUCCCAUCAAUGCUAAGAAAUACUAAAACCUGCAGGAUUUAAAACGUUUUUGUAGUGUCGAAGCUCAAAUUUACUUUGAAAAUUUAAAUGUAACUGAAUAAAAAAUUUUUGGACCUUCA